rnacentral:lncRNA from 1 species
GGAAGAGAUCCAAAGCUGACAAAACGAGGGUCUACGCAGAGUUUCUGUUUUUGUAAUACUUAUUGAUAAUACUGGGUCAACUUCUUUCAUUCUAUUUGAUCGCAUUGUAUAAUAGAGUUUGAGACGGUCUGCACCUUGGUGGAUGCCAUUGCUGAGCCUGGAAAUGAUGAAGAAGCUGACUAUAUUGAAGUUGUAUCUAAGCUGCUAGAUAGCCAUCCUUUGGAUGUGAGUGAAGGCGCUGAGUCAAACAACAAGGAUGAUAGUAUGGUGG